AUACGUAGGGGGCGAGCGUUGUCCGGAAUGAUUGGGCGUAAAGGGCGCGUAGGCGGCCCGGUAAGUCUGGAGUGAAAGUCCUGUUUUUAAGAUGGGAAUUGCUUUGGAUACUGUCGGGCUUGAGUGCAGGAGAGGUAAGUGGAAUUCCCAGUGUAGCGGUGAAAUGCGUAGAGAUUGGGAGGAACACCAAUGGCGAAGGCGACUUACUGGACUGUAACUGACGCUGAGGCGCGAAAGUGUGGGGAGCAAACAGGAUUAGAUACCCUGGUAGUCCACACUGUAAACGAUGAAUGCUAGGUGUAGGGGGUAUCGACCCCUUCUGUGCCGCAGUCAACACAAUAAGCAUUCCGCCUGGGGAGUACGGCCGCAAGGUUGAAACUCAAAUGAAUUGACGGGG
rnacentral:rRNA from 1 species